rnacentral:rRNA from 1 species
AGGGGGCAAGCGUUAUUCGGAAUUAUUGGGCGUAAAGGGCGCGUAGGCGGCUUGGCAAGUGGAAGGUGAAAUCCCUCGGCUUAACCGAGGAACUGCCCUCCAAACUGCUUCGCUUGAGACCGGGAGAGGUGAGUGGAAUUCCCAGUGUAGCGGUGAAAUGCGUAGAUAUUGGGAGGAACACCAGUGGCGAAGGCGGCGCACUGGACCGGUACUGACGCUGAUGCGCGAAAGCGUGGGGAGCGAACAGG